rnacentral:rRNA from 1 species
UGGGCGUAAGGGCUCGCAGGCGGUUUCUUAAGUCUGAUGUGAAAGCCCCCGGCUCAACCGGGGAGGGUCAUUGGAAACUGGGAAACUUGAGUGCAGAAGAGGAGAGUGGAAUUCCACGUGUAGCGGUGAAAUGCGUAGAGAUGUGGAGGAACACCAGUGGCGAAGGCGACUCUCUGGUCUGUAACUGACGCUGAGGAGCGAAAGCGUGGGGAGCGAACAGGAUUAGAUACCCUGGUAGUCCACGCCGUAAACGAUGAGUGCUAAGUGUUAGGGGGUUUCCGCCCCUUAGUGCUGCAGCUAACGCAUUAAGCACUCCGCCUGGGGAGUACGGUCGCAAGACUGAAACUCAAAGGAAUUGACGGGGGCCCGCACAAGCGGUGGAGCAUGUGGUUUAAUUCGAAGCAACGCGAAGAACCUUACCAGGUCUUGACAUCCGCGGACAACCCUAGAGAUAGGGCUUUCCCUUCGGGGACAGAGUGACAGGUGGUGCAUGGUUGUCGUCAGCUCGUGUCGUGAGAUGUUGGGUUAAGUCCCGCAACGAGCGCAACCCUUGAUCUUAGUUGCCAGCAUUCAGUUGGGCACUCUAAGGUGACUGCCGGUGACAAACCGGAGGAAGGUGGGGAUGACGUCAAAUCAUCAUGCCCCUUAUGACCUGGGCUACACACGUGCUACAAUGGACAGAACAAAGGGCUGCAAGACCGCAAGGUUUAGCCAAUCCCAUAAAUCUGUUCUCAGUUCGGAUCGCAGUCUGCAACUCGACUGCGUGAAGCUGGAAUCGCUAGUAAU